CAGGAAUGGGUGUUUAGGUGGCAGCUGCACUGCUCAUCAGGUUGGAACCCAAGAAAACUAUGAGAAAUUGGCCAUAGAGAUCUGCAAGGUUUAUGGUCAUCUGGAACCAGACUUUUAGAGGAAUCUGACCAAACUUCUAGAAUCAAGCCAGGAACUAGACGUCAUUUGUGAAUCCAGAGAUUCUAAAGUUUGUGUAUUCUGCCUCCUCUUUGAGGUAUUUCUGAGUAACACGAGAGGACACCUACAAAAGCUGCCCCCACACUGGUGCCCACCUCUGCUUCCUUCUCAUCUCAAGUUAAUAAGUGUGCUUAAUGGAGGAGCGUGGACUGACUGGCUGCAAGGAAAACAUCUCCAGCCAUCGAAGUGGAAGUGAGACCAAGGCCUGGCACUCACUCGGUGCCGCCCAGACCUCCUAAAUCGUGCAGGUGGCGUGUGUAUGCCCAGUCUCUUGGAGUUUCUGAGUCCUGGUCCCACACUCCAAUAGCACUGAGAGAUGGACUUGAAACUGCGCUGGAAGGAGGCCUUGGAGCAAUGCUGAAAAGCGGUCACUGCAGUGUUGGUGAAGGAGCAAGCGAACUCCAUGGCAGAAGUUGUGGGCUGGGCAGCACGUAUGUAGAACAAGUUGUGGCACGUAGCUGAUUCUUAGAGGAUCAGCCACACUGGGGAGAGCUAAC
rnacentral:lncRNA from 1 species